AUUGAACGCUGGCGGCAGGCCUAACACAUGCAAGUCGAGCGAGCGGCGGACGGGUGAGUAAUGUAUGGGGGCUGCCCGAUAGAGGGGGAUAACUACUGGAAACGGUGGCUAAUACCGCAUACUAUCGGAUAACCCAUAUGGGAUUAGCUAGUAGGUGGGGUAAAGGCUCACCUAGGCGACGAUCUCUAGCUGGUCUGAGAGGAUGAUCAGCCACAAUGGGACGGAGACACGGCCCAGACUUCUACGGAGGCAGCAGUGGCGAAUAUGGAACAAUGGGCGCAAGCCUGAUGCACCCAGGGCGCGUGUAUGAAGAAGGCCUUAGGCUUGUAAAGUACUUGCAGCGGGGAGGCGUUACCCGCAGAAGAAGCACCGGCUAACUCCGUGCCAGCAGCCGCGGUAAUUC
rnacentral:rRNA from 1 species